GAGAAGCGAAAGAAUGUAAAACCCACAGGUUGAGGAGCUGUUCUAGUCUGUUCUUGAAAAUACUUUCAUUUCUCCCUGAAACUUUUAUCUCCCCAUCUGUAAAGCUUAUAAUGAGGAUGUGAUGCUGACACCUAGAGGAACAUAGGUAUGAAUGUAAAUACAUUGUACUAGUCUGUAACCCUCAGAUUGUGUUUCUUUAUAAGACAUCUGUUUAAAUUGAGAAGUGAAAGCUUGUAAUGCGAUAUUCCCUCUGAAUACAAGGUUAGCAGACACAUUACAACGAAUAACCAAUAACAGUGGGUUUUCCAGCAAUCCAGUUUAAUAGUUUCUUCAUAUGUCUGUGUUUAUACGUCAAAUAAACCUCCAACAAAAAAAAUAAUGUAUAAUUCAAGAAAAUACCCAAAGCUAUUACA